rnacentral:rRNA from 1 species
AGAGUUUGAUCAUGGCUCAGGAUUAACGCUAGCGGCAGGCCUAAUACAUGCAAGUCGAACGGUAACAGGUGUAGCAAUACAUGCUGACGAGUGGCGCACGGGUGCGUAACGCGUAUGCAACCUACCUAUAACUGGGGAAUAGCCUUCUGAAAGGAAGAUUAACACCGCAUAACAUCACGAAACGGCAUCGUUUUGUGAUCAGAUCUCCGGAGGUUAUAGAUGGGCAUGCGUGACAUUAGCUAGUUGGUGAGGUAACGGCUCACCAAGGCUACGAUGUCUAGGGGGUCUGAGAGGAUGAUCCCCCACACUGGUACUGAGACACGGACCAGACUCCUACGGGAGGCAGCAGUAAGGAAUAUUGGACAAUGGGCACAAGCCUGAUCCAGCCGUGCCGCGUGAAGGAUGACGGCCCUCUGGGUUGUAAACUUCUUUUAUAUGGGAAUAAACCCCUGGUUUCUACCGGGGCUGAAUGUACCAUAAGAAUAAGGAUCGGCUAACUUCGUGCCAGCAGCCGCGGUAAUACGAAGGAUCCAAGCGUUAUCCGGAUUUAUUGGGUUUAAAGGGUGCGUAGGCGGACUAUUAAGUCAGUGGUGAAAGCCUGCAGCUUAACUGCAGAACUGCCAUUGAUACUGAUGGUCUUGAGUACAUUUGAGGUGGGCGGAAUGUGUCAUGUAGUGGUGAAAUACUUAGAUAUGACACAGAACUCCGAUUGCGAAGGCAGCUCACUAAACUGUAACUGACGCUGAGGCACGAAAGCGUGGGGAUCAAACAGGAUUAGAUACCCUGGUAGUCCACGCCCUAAACGAUGAUUACUCGAUGUGUGCGAUACACUGUACGCGUCUGAGCGAAAGCAUUAAGUAAUCCACCUGGGGAGUACGGCCGCAAGGCUAAAACUCAAAGGAAUUGACGGGGGCCCGCACAAGCAGCGGAGCGUGUGGUUUAAUUCGACGCAACGCGAAGAACCUUACCUGGGCUUGACAUGCACGUGGUACGGAGCCGAAAGGCCGAGGACCCGCAAGGGAGCGUGCACAGAUGCUGCAUGGCUGUCGUCAGCUCGUGCCGUGAGGUGUUGGGUUAAGUCCCGCAACGAGCGCCACCCUCGCUGCCAGUUACCAUGUCUGGCGGGACCGCCGGGUCCAACCCGGAGGAAGGUGGGGAUGACGUCAAGUCAGCACGGCUCUUACGUCCAGGGCUACACACACGCUACAAUGGCCGGUACAACGCGCAGCGAUGGGGCGACCCGGAGCGAAUCGCAUCAAAGCCGGUCUCAGUUGGGAUUGCAGGCUGCAACUCGCCUGCAUGAACGCGGAGUUGCUAGUAACCGCAGGUCAGCACACUGCGGUGAAUACGUUCCCGGGCCUUGUACACACCGCCCGUCACGUCAUGAAAGUUGUUUGUGCCCAAAAUCGCUUUAGCUAACUUGAAAGAGAGGCGAGCGCCUAAGGUAUGGAUGAUGAUUGGGAUGAAGUCGUAACAAGGUAGCCGUA